GACAGCCGCCUCCUCCCCGAGGAGCCAGCCGGGGGCCUGCACAGCCGGGCCUGCACAGCCGCGCCUGCGUUCCGGGACGGGGCGCGCAACUUGGGGCACACCCGAUGCUUGAUGAGAAGAGACUCCUCAUAAAGGGAAAGAAAAUCUUGGAGCUGGAGGAGAAUGAGAAACAAAACAGUGGUCACUGAAAACUGCAUCUUUCUUGAUUUUGUGGAGCAUUGCAUUGGGAUUGGAGAUGUUUCCAGUUUGGAGAUUCUCUCUAUGAGGGAUGUUCCUCUCUAUUCUCCUUUUAUUGUCCACACUCCAAGCCUCCAUUUCCCACCAGGGACUUGCUCUACCCUCCUGAACAUCUGUGAAAAAUUCAUAGCAAGAUGGAUUUUGUUUAUCUUCCUCUGAAAAUCGAUGUUCUUCAGCAGGGGCUGGGCCCUGGAACUAAACUUUGAUUGGACUAAGCUAAUCAAGACCCAUCAAGUGAUUGUUGAGGUAAGAGCAUGGGAUGAAAUUGUGACUGAUGAAACAUAAAGGGAAGUUGUCUUUGCUUUUAAAAAGGGACACAUAACAGAAAUUAUCCCUUUUUUGCCUCUAGACUUUGCCUACUACAGGAGAGGCGAGGCCGGAACCGUGCUAAGAUCUUGGCACAGUGAGACUUUUGACACAGUGUGAGUGGUAGAAAAGCAAAAAGAAAAGAGCCUCAGACCUCGAUGAUGCCAUUGAGGCACUGAAUCAGCAAAGUUCUUCCUUUGCACCUUCAGCUGGGGUUUCUUUUAUUUGUUGCCAGAGCAUCCCAAUAAUUAUAGAGUGUUUGGGAUUUACUCUGUUGUAACUGGCAUCAAACAACCAGGGUUAGAAUCUCAACUAUAUUACCAGCUAGCUUUGUGACCUUGGAAGAGUUAUUUUCUCUCUAUGAGCCUAAUUUCUUAAAAUAAUGGAGAAUAAAAAACCUAUUUCCCAAAGUGGAAGUUGAACAUAAAAUAUGAAAAUUAUUAUUGCUAUCCAUAAUACUUAUUAAUAUUAGGUGAGAUAUAAUAAUAUCAGUACCAUAAUAAAGUUCCAUCAGGAGUGAUCUGCAGU
rnacentral:lncRNA from 1 species